AGUUUGUAUCUUGAAUGAGAUGAUAUUUGGUCUAUCAGAUCAGUCAGUCGAUAGUCUUACAAAAAUGCUUCAAAAGUCCAUUGUUAAGAGGGAAGAGAUUCAAGAAUUUGAUGGAAGUGUUGCUGACAGUCAGCCUUGCACAGUUGAAUCUUCUGAGCUUACUCAAUCUAUUUGGAAGCUUUCACAGGAAAAAGCUUCUAGGAGUCACCUGAUUGAUUGCAUUGGUAGAAUUUUACAUGAAUAUCUAUCAUCUGAAGUGUGGGAUCUUCCAGUGGAUUGCAAACCG
rnacentral:misc_RNA from 1 species